UGUUGAUUCGAAUAAUGAGUUAUACGCAACUAAUUGUUAACCCUUGUCUGUCUUUCUGUUAAUUCCGUCUGUUCUACCGGUUUGAUAUUUAUGUAACAACUUAUUUUGCAGAUUUAAAAAAAAACAACAACAAAACUAUAAGAUGCGUCAUCAUUUCAAUAAGUAUACGAUGCUUUUUAGCUCACCAGAUCCGAAGGCUCAGGGUGAGUUAUAAGUAUCAAAGGGGGAUGCUCCGGCGUCCGUUGUCCGUCGUCAUGCGUCAACAAUCGUCUUCUUCACUGAAACUACUAGGCAGAUUUACUUCAAAUUUGGUCCGUAGCAUCCUUGUGACGGUCACACUUGAAUUUGCUCAUGUCAUUCCAAUUGGCUCCUUUUAGGGGUCAGCAGAGCUAAAAAUAGGAAAACCUUUAAACGUAUUCUCCUACAGAACUAAUUGAUGAAUGAUCACCAAACUUUGUCUGUAGCAUUCUCAUGAAGUCUUUUAUCAAGUUUGCUCAUAUGAAUUUGAUAGGUCCCUUUUAGGGGUCUCUAGGGCUAAAAAUAGAAAAACCUUUAAACGUCUUCUCCUACAGAACUAAUUGAUGGAUGAUCACCAAACAUUGUCGGUAGCAUUCUCGGGUAGUGUUUUAUCAAGUUUGCUCAUAUGAAUUUGAUUGACCCCUUUUAAGGGCCGCAAAAGCUCAAAAUAGAAAUACCUUUAAUUGUCUUUUUCUACAGAACUAAUAGAUGGAUGAUCACCAAACUUUGUCUGUAGCAUUCUUAGGUAGUCUUUUAUCAAGGUUGCUCAUUUUAAUUUGAUUGGCCACUUUUAGGGGCCUCCAAAGCUAGAGAUAGAAAAAUCUUUGAAAAUCAUUUCCUACUGAAAUCACCAAACUUUGUUUGUAGCACUCUUAGGUAGUCUUUUAUCAAAGUUGCUCAUAUUUAUUUGAUUGGCCCAUUUUAGGGGCAGCUUAAGCUAAAAAUAGAAAUACCUUUACAGAAGUAAUGGAUGGAUGAUCACCAAAUUUUGUAAGUAGCAUUCUUAGGUAGUAUUUUAUCAAGUUUGCUCAUAUUAAUUUGAUUGGCCCCUUAAAGGGGCCGCUAAAGCUAAAUAUAGAAAACAUUUGAACAUCAUCUCCUACUAAAAUAUUUGAUGGGUGAUCACCAAACUUUGUAUGUAGCAUUCUUAUGUAGUCUUUCAUAUUAAUUUGAUUGACCUUGUUUAGGCUAAAGCUUAAAUGCCCCAGGUCAUGGCAUUUCUUCACAUUAUAGUUUAAAGAUAUUCUAUGCUCAAAUUUAAUAUUAGAAAAAUAUGGAUUAUAAAAUAAUCGUGUUUUGACUUAACACAAAGUUAAGUUAUUCCCUGCGUGGAGACCGCAGGUUAUUGGUACGCGUUUAACUUUUGAGGCAUGGAGGAGCACGUGACCUGUUUUCGGUACAUGGAGAGGCAUGUGAUCUGUAAACCGUACAUGAUUGGUUAAUUGACAUUUUCGAAAACCUGGCUAAAUACCGUUUGCCGGUACGUUACGGAUUUACCUCUAGGGAAUUAGUCAGAAUUACAUCUAAUUAAGAACAAAAAACUAUGACGUGAUGUUUCUAAUUUUCUAUUAUCAUUUUACCGUUAAAUGUGGAAAAACUGGAAUGAUGUGCUUGCAAAAUUAUUAAUGUUUCUUUAAUAUGUAUCUCAAAUUUUACAAACAAUAAAUUGUUUAUACUGAAAAUCUACAAAAUUAAAAUAUUCGUAGUGGCAUCUUCCAUAAUAGAGAUAUUUUCUGCGUAGUCUUGUGUGUUUCCUUUGUUUUUUGCUCGGAAUAAUUAAUAAAAUUGUAGGCCUAUUUGAUCAUUUUCUUAAAAAGAAAUAAUUGUUUUAUGUUCGACAUUCUCCGGUCAUCAACGGUCACCAGUUUCCAAAGACCUUCUUCUAUAUUGAUCGAUUAUUGUCAACUAUAUUCCUGAUACAAACGUUUAUUUAUCCCCCUCCAAAUAAUGUUGAAAAUAGUUAAAUGAAAUAUCUGUAUAUCAUUAAAAAUGUUCCCCGCAGGAAACCAUUUUACUUGUGUAAUGUUUGAAACUUUUCACACUAUAGGUUGUCACAGUAUCAAUAUAAUGAUAGUGUCAUUAAAACACUUAUGUUUUUUUGUUUUGUUUUUUUUAUAGAAAAGACCAACUUUACUUGGCCUAUAAUAGGAUAUGCAGCUUCCCAUACAUAGUUUAUUCAUUCUUUUAUCCAAAUUAGACAUUUUCAGUAAGAAUUUAAUAAAUUUCAAUAAAUCUCUAUGACUCAAAGAUAGGUAUAGGAUAUCUUUUCAUAAUGAAAGGGAAACAACUCAUGUUGGAAUGUACAUAUUUUAUUCAAUGUUUCCAAUAGAGGUUCAAUGGCUUGGAGAAAGUCUUAAUGUCAUGAUCUGUUUAUGAUGUGUGAAUAUCUCACACCUCUAGAAUUCGGACAUCAUAUUGUAAGGUCAGUUGUAGGUCAUUAACCAGGGGAAAAUAUAGGCCAAAAGAAACAUUGAAUUUGUGUCUCCAGUACCUUUUUAAUAAAGAUGAGUUUGUAUGCUCAUUUUUUUAUUGAAUUUUGUUAAAAAUUGUAUUUUUUUUUUGUUGAAUCGGAUUUAAGCUUGGAAAAAGCUUUUUUCAAUAACCUGAUUUUCAUGUGCAUACUUGAAUUUUGGUAUCAAUGGAACUGUUUUUGAUAUUUUUGAAACCAUUGUUACAUACUUUCUUGUUUUUGAUGUACAGAGACUUGAAAUUUUGAAUGAUGUAUAGAGACUUGAUAUUUUUGAUAUAAUUUGACCUUCAUUCUUGUGUUUUAUGACAUACAAACAAGAAAUUUGGACUAGGGGUGUAAUUUCUGAUGCUGAAUUGAAUUUUGGUAUCAACUGGCCUACUAUUUGUAUGUCUUACAAUGUCUGACCUAUUGUCUUUUUUUGAGGUACAAUUAUGUUACCAUAUAGAAUGUAUAAACAUUUUGUUGUCCCAAGCUGUAAACUUUAAACAUCUACACCUUACAUGUUUAGCAUGUGACAUUUUGUGUUUUCAUUCAAAAAAGUUAUAAAAAAUUGUCCAGUCAAAAUUAAUCCUGCUCUAGUGGUCAUUUAUUCUGCAUUUAUUCUGCAUAGUCUCAUAGGAACACACUUGCAACAUACAUAUUUUUAACAAAACCUUUCCAAAAUAUUAGGGCAGAAUAUUUCAAUUUAUAUUGUGAAUAAUGAAAUGAUGGGUUAAAUGAGUGGUUUAGGGCCAUCUCAGUGGCCCUAUUGUUUAUUAUGAAGAAAAAAAGCUAAAACAACCAGUGUUGUGAAAGUACAUUACUAGAGGGGCAAGUUAAAGUUGAGUUGAACUUGCCGAAAGAGCUGGACUUGCCUUUCAGCAACUUCUGUUGAAAAAUAAUUUCCAACACUGAAAAGCAGUUGUUUCUGGUGAGCGACUCAGGGCCAUCAUGGCCCUCUUGUUUAAUAUUAUUUUGUAUACAAUUGGUUUUGAACAUUGUAUCUAAUGGUCUUUGUUCCCAGUAAUCAUAUUAAAUACAGGUUCGGUUACAUGCGGAGAAAUUGUUAUUAGCUGGUAAUUUAACAGUAAAACCGAUAACGUGGACCGACCACAGAGAUAUGACCAAACAAAUGUUAAAAAUCAGAAUAAAAACAAACAAAUAUCCGAAAUUGUGUAUUUUACUGUUAUUAAUUACUUAUUCAAUUAUAAUUCCAUUAAACAAUACACGAUAGUUAACAUGAUUGAUUUGAUUGGUUAUAAAUUUUAAAGAUACAAAGUACAUGGAAUAUCGAUAAAAAUGGUUUUACCUUAGUGAUUUAUUUAAGUUCGAAGGGGAUAUCAAUUCGAUGGAUUCGCAUCGUAUGCAUUCACAUUCAUUUUGUAAUUUCAACCGAACACCUUGUCGAUAUUGUCAACAUCAAGUGGCACAUUCAUUUUGUAAUUUCAACCGAACACCUUGUCGAUAUUGUCAACAUCAAGUGGGUUUUUUAUUCUUUAUAGAUAGACAAGGUACACAUUGGACAUGAUGGUGAAUUUAUUCUUCCUGCUUGGGACGUAGAAUAUAUAUCAAUAUAUGUUGAACAUAUGGAAGAGUUUUAUGUGUUUAGAAAUAAUCGGCGACAAUGGGUGGAGAAAGACAAUGAUCUGACUUUGCACAGAGAAGGAAAUAAAACAUGCAUCAACUCAUUUGAUAAAGGACAUUUGUGGUCUCUUAAAUGGCAAGGUGUUCAGUAUAUACGAAUUGCGGGGAAAAUGUCGCUACGAACAUGUAAACAGUCAUGUGUAAACUGGAAGGACGAAUCAACACAAAUGCAAUGUGUAUCAGUGUAUUAUAAUCAUUAUUAUAAGGCAUGCUCUGGUUUUACCUUUGACAACCACUUCUAUCCUGUAGAACGUAACACAUGGAAUGGAAGGGUAUAUUUAAGAACAUGUAAACAUUAUGACUUAGUGAAAAGGAAAUUAAUAGAUCAAGUUUGACCUGAGUGUUCCAUAAGAGGAUUCUCAUAUCUUGAUUCAAUAAUUGGUACGUUUUGAAUUCGGUUGCAAAAGCUACAAUUUUAUAUUUAAGGAAAUUGUGUUUGUUUCUUAAACAAUAAAUUUUAUUGCAUUUAUUACAAUUUUAUCUGAACUUGAUAACAAUAAAAAUGAAUAUAUA